GACGAACGCUGGCGGCGUGCUUAACACAUGCAAGUCGAACGGAAAGGCCCUGCUUUUGUGGGGUGCUCGAGUGGCGAACGUGUGAGUAACACGUGAGUAACCUGCUCUUGCCUUUGGGAUAACUUCAGGAAACUGGGGCUAAUACCGGAUAGGACCUCCUGCUGCAUGGUGGGGGUUGGAAAGUUUCGGCGGUUGGGGAUGGACUCGCGGCUUAUCAGCUUGUUGGUGGGGUAGUGGCUUACCAAGGCUUUGACGGGUAGCCGGCCUGAGAGGGUGCCCGGCCACAAUGGGGUUGAGAUACGGCCCAGCCUCAUACGGGAGGCAGGAGUGGGGAAUAUUGCACAAUGGGCGGAAGCGUGAGGCAGCAACGCCGCGUGCGGGAUGACGGCUUUCGGGUUGUGAUCCGCUUUCGCCUGCAACGAGGCGUGGGUAAGGGUACUUGGUAAAGAAGCACCGCCUAACUACGU
rnacentral:rRNA from 1 species